UGGGUUUUAGCUCAGUGGUAGAGCACCUGCUUAGCAUGCAUGAAGCAGUGGGUUCGCUCCUCAGCACACUUAA
rnacentral:tRNA from 1 species